UGAGUAACCUGCCCUUCACCCUGGGAUAACUCCGGGGGAACCGGGACUAAUACUGGAUAUGACUCGAACAGGCAUCUGUUUCGGGUGGAAAGAUUUAUUGGUGGAGGAUGGACUCGCGGCCUAUCAGCUUGUUGGUGAGGUAAUGGCUCACCAAGGCGGCGACGGGUAGCCGGCCUGAGAGGGCAUCGGCCACACGUGGGACUGAGACACGGCCCAGACCUCCGUACGGGGAGGCA
rnacentral:rRNA from 1 species